ensembl:lncRNA
CAGUCAGUGGGAGGCAACGGUGCAGCCGUGCAGUUUUUACAGCCCCGUGCUCCCUGGAGAACCCCAGUGCUUUCUCUAGGACGUAUCAGUCAGACGGCAGAGGAAACAUCCAAAAUGCUGGGAACAUCCUGUGUCACGGUGUCUCCCUGGCCCCCAGAGAAGGAAACGGAAGUGACACUUCCCAGCUUAGAGGUUUUGCAGCUGCUGUUCCUUCUGCCCAGAAUCCUUUUCCACGUGAUCAUCACACAGUGGACCAGUGAGUCAGGCAUGUGAAGCACUUAGGAGUCUGGCUGCCCUCAGGGACCACCCUGGAGGGACUGUGUAGGGAGAGGGGUGGCCAGGUAGCUCCAGCUACUAGGAGGAGAAAAGCCUUCGAGAUGAGCCCAGGCCCAGCUCCCUGCAGUCGCGAGAGAAAGCCUGAGUGAGAACUUCAGAGAGAGCCCAGGUACCCCCAGACUCGUGAGCCACGGCUUUGGAACAGUUUGUUACUCAGCAUCAGCUCACUGCAGCAGACCUGCAAGGCCGACCCCACUGUGCCUUCUGGGCAGAGGGCAUCUGAUGCCAACAAGCUACCGUGAGGAGCUCCCACCCCAGCUGAGUCUCUUAGCAAAAGCCCAGGGACCGACUCACCUGGGCUGCAUCUCAGGAAAGCACCGAGGCCAGGGCUGUGGGGAGGGUGACCACACUGACUGGGGGUCAUGUGACUUUGCAGACAGAGACAACAAGGGAGGGAAAUGGCAGCCCAUGUCUCCACCCAAAUCCACAAAAGCUUCUAAGAAGGAAACCAAGCAAGGAGGCCAGGAAGUCAUGCCUGAGUUCUGCGGGUGUCGGGAAUUUUCACAUGGGUUUCCCUUCCAUCCUCCCCACCGCCUCGUGAUUUAGGUGACAUCAACGGCCCUCUAGAGAGGAGAUCAGAGACACAGAGCAAGGUGUCCAUGGGCACAGCCACAGAGCUCGGAUUCGGACCCGAUUUGUCUGAUUCCAACUUUCUCCAUCAGUAAGCAAAGCACGUGAGAGGAAGGAGAGGGGAGAUUGUCCUCCGCGCUGGGACCCACAACCACAGAACUACGCAAGGCAAACACAACAGAGAUUAGAAUGCUGGGGUUUGUUCUCAUGGGCCUCAAUAUCCGUUCUUCCACUGAAGAGAGGACCUCGUUCACAGCUGUGUCCCCGACAUCUGGAACAAGACCUGGCCCCGAGC